rnacentral:rRNA from 1 species
AUUGAACGCUGGCGGCAGGCCUAACACAUGCAAGUCGAGCGAGCGGCGGAGGGGGGAGUAAUGUAUGGGGACUGCCCGAUAGAGGGGGGGAACUACUGGAAACGGUGGCUAAUAUAGCAUACUAUCGGAUAACCCAGAUGGGAUUAGCUAGUAGGUGUGGUAAUGGCUCACCUAGGCGACGAUCCCUAGCUGGUCUGAGAGGAUGAGCAGCCACACUGGGACUGAGACACGGCCCAGACUCCUACGGAGGCAGCAGUGGGGAAUAUUGCACAAUGGGCGCAAGCCUGAUGCAGCCAUGCCGCGUGUAUGAAGAAGGCCCUAGGGUUGUAAAGUACUUUCAGUCGGGAGGCGUUACCGACAGAAGAAGCACCGGCUAACUCCGUGCCAGCAGCCGCGGUAAUAC